GUAGGUGGCAAGCGUUGUCCGGAAUUAUUGGGCGUAAAGCGCGCGCAGGCGGUUCUUUAAGUCUGAUGUGAAAGCCCACGGCUCAACCGUGGAGGGUCAUUGGAAACUGGAGAACUUGAGUACAGAAGAGGAAAGCGGAAUUCCACGUGUGGCGGUGAAAUGCGUAGAGAUGUGGAGGAACACCAGUGGCGAAGGCGGCUUUCUGGUCUGUAACUGACGCUGAGGCGCGAAAGCGUGGGGAGCAAACAGGGAUUAGAUACCCUGGUAGUCCACGCCGUAAACGAUGAGUGCUAAGUGUUAGGGGGUUUCCGCCCCCUUAGUGCUGCAGCUAACGCAUUAAGCACUCCGCCUGGGGAGUACGGCCGCAAGGCUG
rnacentral:rRNA from 1 species